GGAGUGAUAGUUCAGUGGUUAGAAUUUCGGCUUGUCACGCCGAUGGUCACGGGUUCGAACCCCGUUCAUUCCG
rnacentral:tRNA from 1 species